rnacentral:rRNA from 1 species
CGGUGCUGGAAGGUUAAGGGGAUCUGUUAGAGUAAUCGAAGCAGUGAACUUAAGCCCCAGUAAACGGCGGCCGUAACUAUAACGGUCCUAAGGUAGCGAAAUUCCUUGUCGGGUAAGUUCCGACCCGCACGACAGGCGUAACGAUUUGGGCACUGUCUCAACAACAGACUCGGUGAAAUUGUAAUUCCGGUGAAGAUGCCGGAUACCUGCGACAGGACGGAAAGACCCCAUGGAGCUUUACUGUAGCUUGACAUUGGG